rnacentral:rRNA from 1 species
UACGUAGGCAGCAAGCGUUGUUCGGAGUUACUGGGCGUAAAGGGUGUGUAGGCGGUUCUUUAAGUUUGGUGUGAAAUCUCCCGGCUCAACUGGGAGGGUGCGCCGAAUACUGAGGGACUAGAGUACGGGAGAGGAAAGUGGAAUUCCUGGUGUAGCGGUGAAAUGCGUAGAUAUCAGGAGGAACACCGGUGGUGUAGACGGCUUUCUGGACCGACACUGACGCUGAGACACGAAAGCGUGGGGAGCGAACAGG